rfam:Ovis aries breed Texel chromosome 2, whole genome shotgun sequence.
CCUGGUGGCUCAGACGGUAAAGCGUCUGCCUACAAUGCAGGAGACCCGGGUUCAAUCCCUGGGUCAGGA